rnacentral:rRNA from 1 species
UACGUAGGGCGCAAGCGUUGUCCGGAAUUAUUGGGCGUAAAGAGCUCGUAGGCGGCUUGUCACGUCGGGUGUGAAAGCCCGGGGCUUAACCCCGGGUCUGCAUUCGAUACGGGCUAGCUAGAGUGUGGUAGGGGAGAUCGGAAUUCCUGGUGUAGCGGUGAAAUGCGCAGAUAUCAGGAGGAACACCGGUGGCGAAGGCGGUGGUCUGGGCCGGCACUGACGCUGAGGAGCGAAAGCGUGGGGAGCGAACAGG